rnacentral:rRNA from 1 species
UGGGGAAUAUUGCACAAUGGGCGCAAGCCUGAUGCAGCCAUGCCGCGUGUGUGAAGAAGGCCUUCGGGUUGUAAAGCACUUUCAGCGAGGAGGAAGGUGGUGAACUUAAUACGUUCAUCAAUUGACGUUACUCGCAGAAGAAGCACCGGCUAACUCCGUGCCAGCAGCCGCGGUAAUACGGAGGGUGCAAGCGUUAAUCGGAAUUACUGGGCGUAAAGCGCACGCAGGCGGUUUGUUAAGUCAGAUGUGAAAUCCCCGGGCUCAACCUGGGAACUGCAUUUGAAACUGGCAAGCUAGAGUCUCGUAGAGGGGGGUAGAAUUCCAGGUGUAGCGGUGAAAUGCGUAGAGAUCUGGAGGAAUACCGGUGGCGAAGGCGGCCCCCCUGGACGAAGACUGACGCUCAGGUGCGAAAGCGUGGGGAGCAAACAGAUUAGAUACCCUGGUGGUCCACGCUGUAAACGAUGUCGAUUUUGGAGGUUGUGCCCUUGAGGCGUGGNUUCCGGAGCUAACG